GAGCGAAACAAAUUGUUGCUAAUUCCUGUGAUUUCAAAUACCAAAUUGAACUUCGUAUCUUAUGUAGAUGCAUACUGUAUUACUGUACUGUGUACUGCCACCAACAAGUUGACUUAGUGCUCAGUCACUUUCUGACUUUCCAUCUAUUAGACCCUCAUGCUGUCAAAAGCCUAAAACUCAUGUUUGAAGCACACAUAUAGUGGAAUACUAAUGUACCGAGAUAAGGUAUCCUUGCUCAUGAACCACAGCAUCUUUUCUGAAUCUUGCAUAUUUGGUGGCGUACCCUGCAACAGCAUGUUUGUUGUUAUGGCUGUUUUUACUUCGGUUUAGAAGGCAACCCAGCUAAGAAUGUGCAUAAACGAAAGUUAUGAAUUUCGUUUUGGGGUCAAUGGAGUUGGCGCUGGUUGCCGUUACUGGCCUUAUGCGACGUCUCGAUAUCAGUUUGGAAUAAUAGCUCUGGACUCUGAGGAAUCCUCACUCAUACUACUAUACGAUCAUACAGACAGGUCGACCAGUUUGUCUUCUCGAUUGAAGGUCACGAGAAACAUUACAUAAAACUGGCAUGCGGUUGUGUAGAGGUUGGGUGAGAAUGACACGUGUUUCAUCAUUAUCAAAGCAGACCCAUCCCCAGCAACGUCUACCUAAAGAAAGAAAGGCCAGUUUGCAUUUCAAUC